UGCCUAAACCCUUUCUGGGGCAUGGCUAAGAAAACCUUGUGAGAUAAAAGCUCCUCGUCAGAGCAUCUCACAAGGUCGUAUGGGGAAACCCAUACGGGUGGCGCAAGCCAUC
rnacentral:sRNA from 1 species